rnacentral:rRNA from 1 species
UGCAAGUCGAGCGGGGAGAGGUAGCUUGCUACCUAACCUAGCGGCGGACGGGUGAGUAAUGCUUAGGAAUCUGCCUAUUAGUGGGGGACAACAUUCCGAAAGGAAUGCUAAUACCGCAUACGCCCUACGGGGGAAAGCAGGGGAUCUUCGGACCUUGCGCUAAUAGAUGAGCCUAAGUCAGAUUAGCUAGUUGGUGGGGUAAAGGCCUACCAAGGCGACGAUCUGUAGCGGGUCUGAGAGGAUGAUCCGCCACACUGGGACUGAGACACGGCCCAGACUCCUACGGGAGGCAGCAGUGGGGAAUAUUGGACAAUGGGCGAAAGCCUGAUCCAGCCAUGCCGCGUGUGUGAAGAAGGCCUUUUGGUUGUAAAGCACUUUAAGCGAGGAGGAGGCUACUUGGAUUAAUACUCUAGGAUAGUGGACGUUACUCGCAGAAUAAGCACCGGCUAACUCUGUGCCAGCAGCCGCGGUAAUACAGAGGGUGCGAGCGUUAAUCGGAUUUACUGGGCGUAAAGCGUGCGUAGGCGGCUUUUUAAGUCGGAUGUGAAAUCCCUGAGCUUAACUUAGGAAUUGCAUUCGAUACUGGGAAGCUAGAGUAUGGGAGAGGAUGGUAGAAUUCCAGGUGUAGCGGUGAAAUGCGUAGAGAUCUGGAGGAAUACCGAUGGCGAAGGCAGCCAUCUGGCCUAAUACUGACGCUGAGGUACGAAAGCAUGGGGAGCAAACAGGAUUAGAUACCCUGGUAGUCCAUGCCGUAAACGAUGUCUACUAGCCGUUGGGGCC